rnacentral:misc_RNA from 1 species
UUUCCGUAGGUGAACCUGCGGAAGGAUCAUUAACGAGUUAGGGUCUUUUAGGCCCGACCUCCCAACCCUAUGUUUAUUGAACCUCUGUUGCUUCGGCGGACCCGUCUCACGGCCGCCGGAGGACCGCCGCGAGGCGUCCUCUGGCCAGCGUCCGCCGAUGGCCAACCCACUAAACUCUGAAUGAAUCGCGUCAUAUGUCUAAGUCUAUGAUUAAAUUAAAGCAAAACUUUCAACAACGGAUCUCUUGGUUCUG